UACGGAGGGUGCAAGCGUUAAUCGGAAUUACUGGGCGUAAAGCGCACGCAGGCGGUUUGUUAAGUCAGAUGUGAAAUCCCCGAGCUUAACUUGGGAACUGCAUUUGAAACUGGCAAGCUAGAGUCUUGUAGAGGGGGGUAGAAUUCCAGGUGUAGCGGUGAAAUGCGUAGAGAUGUGGAGGAAUACCGGUGGCGAAGGCGGCCCCCUGGACAAAGACUGACGCUCAGGUGCGAAAGCGUGGGGAGCAAACAGG
rnacentral:rRNA from 1 species